UUUAUUUACACAUUUUUCUAGCUUAAUUUGUGUUUUUGUUAUGUUUUUACAGAAAAGGAAGAAAUUGGGAAGUUAGAGAAAAAGUGAAGAAAAAGCUGGAAAAGUGAUUGGGUCGGAGUGAUUUGGCCAAAUCACUCGCAGAAACUGGCCAAAUCACUCGCAGAGACAGAGACAGAAACUGGACUGAAUCUCAAAAAGCGAUUGGGGCAAAUUGGGCAAGUGAUUUGCCCAAAUCACUCGCAGAAACUGCCCAAAUCACCUUGACAGCAGAAGUUGACAGCAGAGCGGGAAAAGUGCAGAAAUUAGAAAUUCGAAUUAUCAGAAGUCCAAAUCUAACUCAAUCACUACCAACAUAAUUUCAGGAGCCACGAGACAAUUUCUCACCUAAGGAAUUCCUUCUACAAUUAAAAUCCACAUCCAAAGAGGAAUCAAAGACCAAGUCAAGAAGGGAUUUCAAAACCCUAGAUGGAUGAGAUUCUCCAACUAUAAAAGAGCAACCUCCAAACCAGCAAAGGCAUCUCUUUCAGCAUCUGCUAUCCUCGGAAAUUCUCCAGCAAC
rnacentral:lncRNA from 1 species